rnacentral:misc_RNA from 1 species
GGAAGUAAAGUCGUAACAAGGUUUCCGUAGGUGAACCUGCGGAAGGAUCAUUAUUGUAUAACCGAGGUGCGAGGGCUGUCGCUGACCCGAAAGGUCGUGCACGCCCGAGUGCCCUCACACACAUCCAUCUCACCCCUAUGUGCACCACCGCGUGGGUCCCCCUUUGGCUUGUUCGGAGGGGGGCUUACGUUUUCACACAGACUUUGUAUGCAGUGUAGAAUGUAUUUUUUGUUUUUGCGAUCACGCAAUCAAUACAACUUUCAACAACGGAUCUCUUGGCUCUC